rnacentral:lncRNA from 1 species
ACCUUUUGUUUCCAUUUUCUUGAACGUGAAAAUCAGUCAUUUUCUAUAUUAAUACUUCUCAAAGUUGCCUGAGCACUUUAUAUACCCACUCAUCCUUCUAAGGAAAUAGCAUUAUUUUCAUAGAAGCAGUUGACGAUUCAGAACAAACCUUUCAAAACAAAUAUCAAAACAAAACAUACAUAAAGCCAGUGGUUGCCUACUUUAAAUAUAAAACAAAUCACUACAAGGAUAACACGAUGCAAACAAGUUAUAAUUACUGACAUAGUUGGAUUUGUUGCUGUCUACCGUCUUCAGUAAGGAACUGUUUUCUGUGACUUAUUUAAAGAUUGAACAAAGGAAUAAUAAAAUUAACUAAUUGAAGAUUCUAAAAAGUCUUUGUAUUUAAAGCAGUGCUUGAUAUAGUUGCCUUUUUCUCAAAAGUAUUUUUAAAACGAUUUUUCUGAACAAAUGAACUACAAUUUUUAUUAUUUAUUCUUUAAUCUUUUUUUACAUUGCAGACUUCAUCCCUGUCUCAGUCCACCCUCUGACUGUUUCAUACUCCAUACCUCCUCCACCCCUGCCUCCAAGAGGAUGCCCCACAUCAAAACCCACCCCACCAGACCUCUCCACUCCCCGGACCCCAAGUCUCUCCAGGCUUAGGUGCAUCUUCUCUGAGUCCAGACCAGGAAGUCUUCUGCUGUAUAUGUGUUGGAAGCCUCAUAUCAGCUGGUGUAUGAGGCUGGUUGGUGGUCCAGUGAGAGUUCCCCGGGGGUCCAGGGUAGUUGAGACUGCUGGUCUUCCUAUAGGCUUGCCCUCCUCUUCAGCUUCUUCCAGCGAUUCCCUUAUUAAACCACAGGGGUCACCAGCUUCUGUCCAUUGGUUGGGUGUAAAUAUCUGCAUCUGACACUUUCAGCUGCUUGUUGGGCCUUUCAGGGAUAGUCAUGCUAGGCCUCUAUUUUUGUUGUUGUUGUUGUUGUUUGUGUUUUUGUUUUUUUUUAAUAAAAAAUUGUAUUUACUUAGAAGCAUUCAGAAUGUCAACAAAACAGCCGCAUUUUUUUUAAUUUUUGCAAUUACAGAAUGGUAUUCAGUUAACAGAACAACAAUUAUUGUCGUUAUAAGCUGCAUCAGAGACAACUGAAGAUGAAAAAAAUAAAACCCAAAAAUAAAACCAAAAGG